rnacentral:rRNA from 1 species
CGGGACACGUGGUAUCCUGUCUGAAUAUGGGGGGACCAUCCUCCAAGGCUAAAUACUCCUGACUGACCGAUAGUGAACCAGUACCGUGAGGGAAAGGCGAAAAGAACCCCGGCGAGGGGAGUGAAAAAGAACCUGAAACCGUGUACGUACAAGCAGUGGGAGCACGCUUAGGCGUGUGACUGCGUACCUUUUGUAUAAUGGGUCAGCGACUUAUAUUCUGUAGCAAGGUUAACCGAAUAGGGGAGCCGAAGGGAAACCGAGUCUUAACUGGGCGUUAAGUUGCAGGGUAUAGACCCGAAACCCGGUGAUCUAGCCAUGGGCAGGUUGAAGGUUGGGUAACACUAACUGGAGGACCGAACCGACUAAUGUUGAAAAAUUAGCGGAUGACUUGUGGCUGGGGGUGAAAGGCCAAUCAAACCGGGAGAUAGCUGGUUCUCCCCGAAAGCUAUUUAGGUAGCGCCUCGUGAAUUCAUCUCCGGGGGUAGAGCACUGUUUCGGCAAGGGGGUCAUCCCGACUUACCAACCCGAUGCAAACUGCGAAUACCGGAGAAUGUUAUCACGGGAGACACACGGCGGGUGCUAACGUCCGUCGUGAAGAGGGAAACAACCCAGACCGCCAGCUAAGGUCCCAAAGUCAUGGUUAAGUGGGAAACGAUGUGGGAAGGCCCAGACAGCCAGGAUGUUGGCUUAGAAGCAGCCAUCAUUUAAAGAAAGCGUAAUAGCUCACUGGUCGAGUCGGCCUGCGCGGAAGAUGUAACGGGGCUAAACCAUGCACCGAAGCUGCGGCAGCGACGCUGAUGCGUUGUUGGGUAGGGGAGCGUUCUGUAAGCCUGUGAAGGUGUGCUGUGAGGCAUGCUGGAGGUAUCAGAAGUGCGAAUGCUGACAUAAGUAACGAUAAAGCGGGUGAAAAGCCCGCUCGCCGGAAGACCAAGGGUUCCUGUCCAACGUUAAUCGGGGCAGGGUGAGUC